AGUAUUCAGACCCUUUGCUAGGAGACUCGAAAUUGAGCUCAGGUGCAUCCUGUUUCCAUUGAUCAUCCUCGAGAUGAGUCCACCUGUAGUAAAUUCAAUUGAAUGGACAUGAUUUGGAAAAGCACACACCAUUCUACAGUAUAUAAGGUCUCACAGUUGACAGUGCAUGUCAGACCAAAAACCAAGUCAGAAGGUCAGAAGGUCAAAGGAAUUGUCUGUAGAGCUCUGAGACAGGAUUGUGUUGAGGCACAGAUCUGGGGAAGGGUACCAACAAAUGUCUGCAGCAUUAAACAACUCCAAGAAGACAGUGGCCUCCAUCAUUCUUAAAUGGAAGAAGUUUGGAACCACCAAGACACUUCCUAGAGCUGGCCGCCUGGCCAAACUCAGCAAUCGGGGGAGAAGGGCCAUGGUCAUGGAGGUGACCAAGAUCCCGAUGGUCACUCUGACAGAGCUCUAGAGUUCCUCUGUGGACAUCAGAGAACAUUCCAGAAGGACAACCAUCUUUGCAGCACUCCACCAAUUGGGCCUUUAUGGUAGAGUGGCCAGACGGACGCCACUCCUCAGUAAAAGGCAUGACAGCCCACUUGGAGUUUGCCAAAAGGCACCUAAAGACUCUCAGACCGUGAGAAACAAGAUUCUCUGGUCUGAUGAAACCAAGAUUUGGCCUGAAUGCCAAGCGUCAUGUCUGGAGGAAACCUGGCACAUCCCUAUGGUGAAGCAUGGAGGUGGCAGCAUCAUGCUAUGGGGAUGUUUUUCAGUGGCUGGGACUGGGAGACUAGUCAGUAUCAAGGCAAGGAUGAACAGAGCAAAGUACAGAGAGAUACCUGAUGAAAACCUGCUCUCUGGAGAUACCUGAAAAUAGCUGUGCAGCAACGCUCCCCAUCCAACCUGACAGAGGUUGAGAGGAUCUGCAGAGAAGAAUGGGAGAAACUCCCCAAAUACAGGUGUGCCAAGCUUUUAGCAUCAUAUCCAAGAAGACUCAAUGAUGUAAUUGCUGCCAAAGGUGCUUCAACAAAGUACUGAGUGAAGGGUCUGAAUACUUAUGUAAAUGUAAUACUAAAGUUUUUAUUUUCAAGAAAUUAGCAAAAAAUAAAUAAAAAUUGCUUUGUCAUUAUGGGGUAUUGUGUGUAGAUAGAUGAGGGGAAAAAACAAUUGAAUUCAUUUUAGAAUAAGGCUGAAAUGUAACAAAAUCCGGAAAAAGUCAAGGGGUCUGAAUACUUUCCGAAAGCACUGUAUAUCCACAAAAUACACCCUGUACAGUGUACGUAUUUUCAAACACACAAACUCAACUUAAAGUUGCCAUUCCUAUCUGCACACAAAACCUCAGGUUGUGCUGUGUAACCCUUGCUACAGCAUUGCUUUUCCCUUCCCUGUUUUCUUGGAUUGGGUUUCUUGAUUAUGUUUAAGAUUAUGUUUAGGAUUGUAUUCAGUGACAAGUCACAAUACACCCCCUCGGAGGAAAACCUACCCAGGACUGUCUUCCUUAAAAGGACUUCUUGUUCAGUCUACAGACAUAUCAUCAUCCAGGACUUGGCGACCCUGAACCUCCACUCUGAAAAGCCUCUCUCCAAAUCUGAUUAUUCUUGUGUUUCAUCAGGUUGAGAGAUCUGGUUAGAGGGUGUAUUGGCAUUUGACUCCUGAUUUAUACCUCUGUACACAGUCCAACAGCUGGCACCAAUAAUACAAAUAGAGCUAGUUUCAUUAAAACAUAUGCAAAGUACAUCAUAGUUUUUCCAUCUCCUAGUUUGUUUGGGCCCUGCCAAUCAAUCCUCUCUUUGGGAUUGUUGUUGUCAAGCUGCAUACACUGAUUUAUUAUAGAGAUUGUACUGGACUGGACUGCCUGAGUGGGGGCAGCCUCUCUCUCUUUCCUCCUCUCCCUCCCUCGCCUGAUAAUGAAGAAAACAUUGGCACAUGACAGUGAUGUUGUUGUGUUUUGAAUAAUACUGCAGUAUAAUGGUCUUCAGCACUUUAGCUUUCUUUUCAUAGUUUGUGUUGUGUGUAUUGGUGACCCAUGCAUUCCAUACUGCACUCUGAACUUCUUGUGCAUUGUGGCUUUGAGUAUUUCUCUUUGUAUUUCUCUCUCUCUCUCUUGCCUGUCUUGCAGUAAUAAAACCCAUCAUGAGGAGGUAUUCCACACUUCCAGCCUUCCUGACCCCCAGUACCCUAACCAUAUGCCAGAGAAGGGCCACACCUCAGCCUAGAGAUGAUCUUCCAGAGUGGAUGGGUUGGAAGGAGGAGAAGAAAAGGAUAGAAUGUGACAGGGGAAUGGAAACUCUUCGGCACACUUAAGAGAUGGACCAUGAGGAAAAAACAUUCUCCCUGAGAAGAUGAUGAUGUUUGGGAGCAAACCACCCCCAGCAAGUGCACCCGCCAGUCUUCACUCUCCUCUGCCAGAUCCACAACCCCUGGAUCGGAUCCCCAAGGUUGCUGGAUCGGAUCCCCAAGCUGACAAGGCCCUGGCUCCUCGCCCCUCUAGAACUGCCGGGGCCUCUCAGAGAAGAGGGAGGAACAGAGCUAGGGCCACUGGAAACAGCACCGGAAACACUACAAUAGAGGGAGAUGAACCUGAGCACAGAUGGCAUACAGUCAUUAUAGAUUGUGGAGCCAAUACCACCCAGGUUCAGACCCACAGUUGGAUAGUACUCAAACAUACAACCCCUUCCAGCUGUUUCAGCUGUACUCAACCACCUCUGUGCUGGGGACACUAGUAUCCAAUAGCAACAAGUAUGGGGACAAGAAGCAGCAGAGGGGGAAGAAGAUGCACUGACAUGCUCUCGUACAUUUCCCUGGUAAUAUACAUGGGACUGGCAAAGGUAUCAAGUUCCCUGACUCAUGAAUGAAAACCAUUUCUUGGCUUUCAACUGUACUCGUCACAUGAGCGACCCACAAAAGUAUGAGGGGAAUGACAAGAAGAAGGGGAGCGCAGGGUAUGAUCGUCUCGCAAGAGUCAAGCCUGGUUAUCUUUUAGGCUUAUUCAGUGUGUAAUAGCAGUGGAAAUACCCCAUUUGGACACGUUGGAGAGGUUGAAAGGACACUUGGAUGUCCCCUGGAUGUCCUCUGACACUGUUUGAGAGAGGCUGAUAUUGUAGAAAUUGUGUUUUUAAAGGAACAAAUAUCUUUUAGGCUUAUUCAACGUGUAAUAGCAGUGGAAUUACUUCCUAUCUAUGUUCUGACCAUUUUCUUAUAAUCUCCCGGGUAUUUUCUUUCCAAUAAUCCCACAUUUAAGGACACAUGUCCUUAUCGUUGCUCAUUAAAAUCAGUUACUUUUGGCUAUGUCUAUUUCGGCGGAAAUGUACAUUUUUGCCAUUACAUUUACGAGGUUUUAACCUGUCUCCUCCCCUUCAUCUACACUGAUUAAAAUGGAUUUAACAGUGACAUCAAUAAGGGAUCAUAGCUUUCACCUGGAUCUACCUGGUCAAUCUAUGCCAUGGAAAUAGAUUCAUGUUUUGUACACUCAAUGUAUGUGCU